GACGAACGCUGGCGGCGUGCUUAACACAUGCAAGUCGAACGGAAAGGCCCUGCUUGCAGGGUGCUCGAGUGGCGAACGGGUGAGUAACACGUGGGUGAUCUGCCCCUUACUUUGGGAUAAGCCUGGGAAACUGGGUCUAAUACUGGAUAGGACCAUGCUGUAGGUGGUGUGGUGGAAAGAUUAGUUUCGGUAAGGGAUGAGCUCGCGGCCUAUCAGCUUGUUGGUGGGGUAAUGGCCUACCAAGGCGUCGACGGGUAGCCGGCCUGAGAGGGUGGACGGCCACAUUGGGACUGAGAUACGGCCCAGACUCCUACGGGAGGCAGCAGUGGGGAAUAUUGCACUAUGGGCGCAAGCCUGAUGCAGCGACGCCGCGUGGGGGAUGACGGCCUUCGGGUUGUAAACUCCUUUCAGCCAUGACGAAGCCCUUGUGGUGACGGUAGUGGUAGAAGAAGCACCGGCUAACUACGUG
rnacentral:rRNA from 1 species